rnacentral:tRNA from 1 species
GCUGAUGUAGCUCAAUGGUAGAGCUUUGGAUUUGUAAUCCGGAGGUUGGGGGUUCAAAUCCCUUCAUCAGCU